rnacentral:rRNA from 1 species
CAACCUGCCCAUCACUUGGGGAUAACCAUGCGAAAGUAAGACUAAUACCCAAUGACGUCUCUAGAAGACAUCUGAAGGAGAUUAAAGAUUUAUCGGUGAUGGAUGGGGAUGCGUCUGAUUAGCUUGUUGGCGGGGUAACGGCCCACCAAGGCGACGAUCAGUAGGGGUUCUGAGAGGAAGGUCCCCCACAUUGGAACUGAGACACGGUCCAAACUCCUACGGGAGGCAGCAGUGAGGAAUAUUGGUCAAUGGACGAGAGUCUGAACCAGCCAAGUAGCGUGCAGGAUGACGGCCCUAUGGGUUGUAAACUGCUUUUAUAAGGGAAUAAAGUGAGUCUCGUGAGACUUUUUGCAUGUACCUUAUGAAUAAGGACCGGCUAAUUCCGUGCCAGCAGCCGCGGUAAUACGGAAGGUCCGGGCGUUAUCCGGAUUUAUUGGGUUUAAAGGGAGCGUAGGCCGGAGAUUAAGCGUGUUGUGAAAUGUAGAUGCUCAACAUCUGAACUGCAGCGCGAACUGGUUUCCUUGAGUACGCACAAAGUGGGCGGAAUUCGUGGUGUAGCGGUGAAAUGCUUAGAUAUCACGAAGAACUCCGAUUG